UACGGGGGGAGCAAGCGUUGUUCGGAUUUAUUGGGCGUAAAGAGCGUGUAGGCGGCCAGGUAGGUCUGCUGUGAAAACUCGAGGCUUAACCUCGAGAUGUCGGCGGAAACCAUCUGGCUAGAGUCCGGAAGAGGAGAGUGGAAUUCCUGGUGUAGCGGUGAAAUGCGCAGAUAUCAGGAGGAACACCGGUGGCGAAGGCGGCGUCCUGGACCAACACUGACACUGAUGAGCGAAAGCCAGGGGAGCAAACGGG
rnacentral:rRNA from 1 species